AGUGAACGCUGGCGGUAGGCCUAACACAUGCAAGUCGAACGGCAGCACGGUAAGAGCUUGCUCUUACGGGUGGCGAGUGGCGGACGGGUGAGGAAUACAUCGGAAUCUACUUUUUCGUGGGGGAUAACGUAGGGAAACUUACGCUAAUACCGCAUACGACCUACGGGUUAAAGCAGUGGAUCUUCGGACCUUGCGCGAUUGAAUGAGCCGAUGUCGGAUUAGCUAGUUGGCGGGGUAAAGGCCCACCAAGGCGACGAUCCGUAGCUGGUCUGAGAGGAUGAUCAGCCACACUGGAACUGAGACACGGUCCAGACUCCUACGGGAGGCAGCAGUGGGGAAUAUUGGACAAUGGGCGCAAGCCUGAUCCAGCCAUACCGCGUGGGUGAAGAAGGCCUUCGGGUUGUAAAGCCCUUUUGUUGGGAAAGAAAAGCAGCAGGUUAAUACCCCGCUGUUCUGGCGGUACCCAAAGAAUAAGCACCGGCUAACUUCGUG
rnacentral:rRNA from 1 species